GUGCACCGGUCGCGGGCGUCUCUCGCGAAGCACAGGGCGAGGAAGUGCUUCGCCUCCGCGGACAGCCACGCCGGCACCUCCGGCACGGCGUCCGUGUAGCCGAUCCGGUGCAUCGCCGCGAGGACGUCGUCCAUGUCGCUCCACGGGGCGCGGCCGGUGGCCAUCUCGACGACGGUGCAGCCCAGCGCCCAGACGUCGGCCGCGGGGCCCUGCUCCUCGCCCCGUGCCACCUCCGGCGCCAUGAACGCCGGCGUGCCCCCGAUGGGCCGAUCGGAAGAACCCACCGCCCUCGCACACACGAAGUCCGCGAUCUUCGCUCGGCCGUCGGCGCCGACCACGACGUUUCUCGCCUUCACGUCCCCGUGGACGAGGGACCUCCCGUGGAGGUACGCCAGGCCUCUAGCCACAUCGGCGGCGUACGCCCGGACAGCGCCCUCCUCGAGCCGGCCGCCGCACCUCUCGGCGACGUCGGCGACGGAGCCGCCCGGCGCGAACUCGAGGAAGAGCUGGCACUCGCCGGCGGCGGCGCGGAAGCCGAGGCAGGGCAAGACGUGCGGCGAGCUGAGGCCGGACAGGAUGUCGCCCUCGCGCCGGAGCUGGUCCGCGGCGGCAGCGGGCGCCGACUUGACGGCGAAGAGCGCGCCCAAGAGGUCGUCGGCGGCGAGGGACACCACGGCGCCGGACGCGCCGCGGCCGAGCGUGCGGACGCGUGUCCAGCUGCCGCCGACCGCCGCCUCCAUUUCUUUUCUCGGUUCCUGCAGGCAGGCAAGAGGCAGGAGGUGUUUCGAAUUUGUGGUGGCUGCGAGUAGUUUGCUCGCUCGAUUGGUUUCCCUUGUGCGAUUUGAUUUGAAGUGGAGCUCGGGCUCGGCGUGGAUGGAUGUAUAUAUGGCGGGGCCGGAAAAUACAGGUGGCGUGGCGUGGCUUCGAUUUCGAUCCGUACCAAUUCCGCGGUGUGGUGUGAAAAGCAUGUGCCCAGCUGCGCGAGGAAACGGGAGGGUGGGCGUUGACGGGACACUGUCGCGUGGGCCGGGCGAGUCGGAGGCCUAG
rnacentral:rRNA from 1 species